UACGUAUGGAGCAAGCGUUAUCCGGAUUUACUGGGUGUAAAGGGUGCGUAGGUGGCAGUGCAAGUCAGAUGUGAAAGGCCGGGGCUCAACCCCAGAGCUGCAUUUGAAACUGCUCGGCUAGAGUACAGGAGAGGCAGGCGGAAUUCCUAGUGUAGCGGUGAAAUGCGUAGAUAUUAGGAGGAACACCAGUGGCGAAGGCGGCCUGCUGGACUGUUACUGACACUGAGGCACGAAAGCGUGGGGAGCAAACAGG
rnacentral:rRNA from 1 species